rnacentral:misc_RNA from 1 species
UCUCCGUAGGUGAACCUGCGGAGGGAUCAUUACAGAGUUCAUGCCCUAACGGGUAGAUCUCCCACCCUAUGUUAUCAUCACUUUGUUGCUUUGGCGGGCCGUCAGGCCUCGGCUUGGCUACCGGCUCUCGCUGGUAAGCGCCCGCCAGAGAACCCUAAACCCUGAAUAUCAGUGUCGUCUGAGUACUAUAUAAUAGUUAAAACUUUCAACAACGGAUCUCUUGGUUCUG